rnacentral:lncRNA from 1 species
AGGAAAAUUGAAAGCAGUUAAGAACCUGCCCCCUACCGUGGAGUUCUUGGUGCCGUGAGUUGGAGUUCUUGGUGCCUGGGUGCGUCCCCAAGGCCACUGGUCUUCAGAUCUUUCUUACUUGAGAAGAACGCCUCCGCCUCCUGGCUCUCCCACCAGUGGUAUUGCCACCACCACACACCAGCAUAAAGCACAGAUUGCUGCCCAGCUCCUUGGAGAGGGGCCAGUGCAUUUGUCAGGAAUUGAAAAGUUUUGGAGCCAGUUCGAGGACUUUCUCCUGCACAAAGUGUUGGCUGGAAGCAUGUUUGUCUCUCUAAUUUAUCGUUUCACUUGGAAAGGUUGAUACAUUGAUGAGCUACGAAAAGCAAGAGGGAACAUGCCCAUCUACUAAGAGGAGAAGAGAGCCUAAAACAUACACAUUCACUAAGGAAGAGAAAGCCAAAUGUGAGAAGCAAUAACACAUGGUUUGCCAAAGAAUCUGCAUUGAAUAAUACUGGUGGUGACCACAAGAACAUGCCUCUCUGACUGCAAGGAACAAGAGUGACCCAGGGUUUCAGCUGCUGCCUUGGAAAUUCAUCAC